rnacentral:rRNA from 1 species
GAUGAACGCUGGCGGCGUGCCUAAUACAUGCAAGUCGAGCGAACAGACGAGGAGCUUGCUCCUUUGACGUUAGCGGCGGACGGGUGAGUAACACGUGGGUAACCUACCUAUAAGACUGGGAUAACUUCGGGAAACCGGAGCUAAUACCGGAUAAUAUUUCGAACUGCAUGGUUCGAUAGUGAAAGAUGGCUUUGCUAUCACUUAUAGAUGGACCUGCGCCGUAUUAGCUAGUUGGUAAGGUAACGGCUUACCAAGGCAACGAUACGUAGCCGACCUGAGAGGUGAUCGGCCACACUGGAACUGAGACACGGUCCAGACUCUACGGGAGGCAGCAGUAGGGAAUCUUCCGCAAUGGGCGAAAGCCUGACGGAGCAACGCCGCGUGAGUGAUGAAGGUCUU